rnacentral:rRNA from 1 species
UACAGAGGUCCCGAGCGUUGUUCGGAUUCACUGGGCGUAAAGGGUGCGUAGGCGGUCGGGUAAGUCUGAUGUGAAAUCCCGCAGCUUAACUGCGGAACGGCAUUGGAUACUAUUCGGCUCGAGGAGUGGAGGGGAGACUGGAAUUCUCGGUGUAGCAGUGAAAUGCGUAGAUAUCGAGAGGAACACCGGUGGCGAAGGCGGUUCUCUGGGCCUGUACUGACG